GUAUUUAUGAGCUUGAAACCAUUUUAAGCUUUUACAUUGGCUAUAGAGUUGAAAAUGACCCACUUACCCAAAGAGUGUUCAGUUUAGUUUAGUUGUUGGAUAGCACUUGAUAAUUGUUUUCUUUGAAAGAAACCAUUUGAUAAUUAUUUGGCUUCUCCUCUUUCUCUAAUUUUUUAGAUAGAGAACAUUUUCUUUCUUUUUUGGUUUUUGGUUUUUGAGGUUAGGCCUUGACCAUUGCCGACUGGUGGCCUUCCUUGCUCUAUCCAGACAAGGGGGGACUUCUCUCCCCACCCCUUUCCCUUCCCUCAAUGAGGUGUGUGUGUUUUUGUGGUAGAUUCGAUGCUUCAUUGGAGAGGACUUCCCUUCGUUCUGCCUUGUUUUUUGUUGUUGUGGUGUGAUUGCAUGUAGGUCUCGUUUCUUCAUCUAAAGGUCUGCAAAGUUUUAGCUCUUACACAGCUUGUGCCAUCUUGGCCUUUUCUGGGUUUCUACGCAGGAGGGUGCUCAAAGUAGCUAACUAGUUGUACAGAAGGCGUCUCGAGGGUCAUUCCGCAGGCUACACAUUGAUAGUCACCGACCCACCAAGGCUAUAAGAGAUCGAGACGCAAUAGAGCCCUGCCUUUUGCCUCUCCCUGCGGGUCGCCGAUAUGGUUCUAGUUCUUUGGUUAUUGAGGUCCUCGUUGCGACUCCGGAAGUAAGGUUGGAUGGCUGGAGAGUGGUCUUCUUGCUCAUUGUUUUUAUUUUUUUCAUCAAAGAAAGAAUAGUUAUUCUUCCAGACAGUGGCAUAUGGCAAGGCUACACCACCUCUAACUUUGGUCCAUUGGCUUUUCAGCGACUCUGCUGCGGAGUUUUCCUGCUAGUCUCCAGUUAGGAGUACGGCUAUCUCUGUAUGGGCCUUAAGCUUUUUGUUUGUAUUCGAUAACUUUGGGCCUAUUUGAUGGGGUUUGUAUUGAGG
rnacentral:misc_RNA from 1 species